rnacentral:ncRNA from 1 species
CUACUCUCUAACCGUCGCUGCCAAUUCAGCGACCGGGCCUGAGAACCCGAGUA